GUUAGGUAAAUCCGGCUCUUUCUAAGGCUGAGACACGACGUCGAGCACCUACGGGUGUGAAGUCAUUGAUGCCAUGCUUCCAGGAAAAGCCUCUAAGCUUCAGAUUGUAAGGAAUCGUACCCCAAAC
rnacentral:rRNA from 1 species